UUAGGGUGCAAACGGGGAAAAAUUCUAGAAUGCAACGGGUAUAUUAGUGACGUGGCGUAACAAAUCAAUCAAAUUAAUCUUUUUAAGAAUAUAUGUCCCAUCAUGAUUAUAAAAAAGUAUUUUUAUUGUACUUUUGUUUGAAAAGAAUGAAUGUGAUUGUCUUGUUAUUAAUGACGUGGUGCAAGUGUGACAGUGUAGAAUUCCUCGCGAACGGGAGACCCGCUCCGCGUUCUAUCGUGCCAAUAUUAAUUAAAUUCGUUUAGUCUCCUGCCCAGCCUUCCAUCAUAGAGAUAGAGAGAAUUAUGCUAUUAUGCUAUUCGUAAUAUCAUGCGAGAGAGAAUUAUGCUAUUAUAUUAUCGAUAGUAUCAUGUGUGUAGUGUUAUUUUGAAUUUUUGACUGCUAGAUGAAAGAAUGUGCGGUUGGAAUAAUACUGAUUUUCUAGAGUUGAGUGUGUGGUUGGUUAAAUAGUAUAAUUUAACGGGUGAAAAUGAUCACAGGGUAGAUUUAACGGCAGAAAAUUUGAUAUUAUCAAGAGUUUGAUAUUAUCGAUAGUAUAAUAACUAUAUAUAUAUAGAGAGAGAGAGAGAGAUGGAUUGGAAUGCUAUUGAUACCAAAAGACCUUUUUUGCUAUCAAAUUUUUAACUCUUUGAUGAAAAAUUGUAAAAUUAUGAUGAUAUUAAUUAGUUCUUAGGAUUGAAUGGUCCCUAGGGUUGAGUGGUUCCCGCUGGAUUAUAAUACUUAAUUCAAUAGUUAGAAAUGAUAAAAUAAAUUAAUCCAAAGGCUAAAAACUUGAUAGUGAAAAGAGCAUUUUGCUAUCAAUAUUAUUCUAGCCCAACUCUCUCUCUCUCUCUCUAUAUAUAGUGUAGAGUUACUAUACUAUUAGAAGCAUAAGAAAGUUGGUGUUUUCAACUUUUUGGCCCUUAGAUCAAGAAUUAUGAGGUCGGGAUGAUAGUUCCUCCAGGAUUGAGUGGUCCUUAAUUCUAAAGUUGAUUGAUCCAUGUAGGAUAAUAAUCUUAAUCCAAAUGUUAGAAAUAGUUAAAAGAAUUGAUUCGAGGCCAAAAAGUCGGAAGAACCA
rnacentral:lncRNA from 1 species